rnacentral:misc_RNA from 1 species
UGCCCAUGCCCCAAGAUUCCCGGACAGCUCAAUCUCCAAAGUGCCGCCGCCUAAUCAAAAAUCGCUUAUUCACCAAAAAUCUAACCACACCCAAUGCAUCACGCAAGCUCCACUGGACCUCAUUAAUAACUAAUUGAUUAGAUCCUGAACCAGCAUCGUAGUUAAAAGUAUAUAUAAAAAGGACCUCGUUAAUAACUAAUUGAUCAUGCAAACUCCUCUUUGAAAUGUUCAGUACACUGACAUCAGCGAUGAUUCUAACAGAUUUAAAUUCAUCAGAAAUUAUUUAAAAUAUGAUGAAAUUUUCGACAAAAUAACAACGGUGUGUAA